rnacentral:rRNA from 1 species
AUUGAACGCUGGCGGCAGGCCUAACACAUGCAAGUCGAGCGGUAGCACAGGGAGCUUGCUCCUGGGUGACGAGCGGCGGACGGGUGAGUAAUGUCUGGGAAACUGCCUGAUGGAGGGGGAUAACUACUGGAAACGGUAGCUAAUACCGCAUAACGUCGCAAGACCAAAGAGGGGGACCUUCGGGCCUCUUGCCAUCAGAUGUGCCCAGAUGGGAUUAGCUAGUAGGUGGGGUAACGGCUCACCUAGGCGACGAUCCCUAGCUGGUCUGAGAGGAUGACCAGCCACACUGGAACUGGGACACGGUCCAGACUCCUACGGGAGGCAGCAGUGGGGAAUAUUGCACAAUGGGCGCAAGCCUGAUGCAGCCAUGCCGCGUGUAUGAAGAAGGCCUUCGGGUUGUAAAGUACUUUCAGCGGGGAGGAAGGCGAUAAGGUUAAUAACCUUGUCGAUUGACGUUACCCGCAGAAGAAGCACCGGCUAACUCCGUGCCAGCAGCCGCCGUAA